GAUAAACGCUAGCGGCAGGCUUAACACAUGCAAGUCGAGGGGCAGCAUAGAUUGUAGCAAUACAAUUGGUGGCGACCGGCGCACGGGUGCGUAACGCGUAUGCAACCUACCCGUCACAGGGGGAUAAGCCGGAGAAAUCUGGUCUAAUACCCCAUAACAUAUGGACCGGCACCGGAUCAUGUUGAAAUUUUCGGAGGUGACGGAUGGGCAUGCGUAGCAUUAGCUUGUUGGUGAGGUAACGGCUCACCAAGGCGACGAUGCGUAGGGGGACUGAGAGGUUUUCCCCCCACACUGGUACUGAGACACGGACCAGACUCCUACGGGAGGCAGCAGUGAGGAAUAUCGGUCAAUGGGCGCAAGCCUGAACCAGCCAUGCCGCGUGCAGGAUGACGGCUCUAUGAGUUGUAAACCGCUUUUGUACGAGGGUAAAGUGGGUUGCGUGUAACCUUUUGAAAGCAUCGUACGAAUAAGGAUCGGCUAACUCCGUGCCAGCCGCCGCCGUAA
rnacentral:rRNA from 1 species